UGGGAGCUUUGUCCGGGUGAAGAUGCUGGAAAACGGGAGGAAGGUGUUCAAGGAGGGUCUGCUGGAGAAGAGGAGUGACGGUCUGCUGCAGCUGUGGAAGAAGAAGCACUGCGUCCUGACCGAGGACGGAGUCCUGCUGCUGCCGCCCAAGCAGCACGACCACCCGCAGCACCACCACCACCAGCAGCAGCAGCACCAGCACCACGGCACCGGAGACACCGGCAAAGUCAAGGAGCUGCACUUCGCCAACAUGAAGACCGUGGACUGCGUGGAGCGGAAGGGCAAGUACGUGUACUUCACUGUGGUCAUGACGGAGGGGAAGGAGAUCGACUUCAGGUGUCCGCAGGACGAGGGCUGGAACGCGGAGAUCACCCUGCAGAUGGUCCAGUACAAGAACCGGCAGGCGAUCCUGGCCGUCAAGUCCACCCGGCAGAAGCAGCAGCUGCUGGUGGUGCAGAUGCCCGGGCAGAAGACCGUCCGCAGCUCGCCAAAUGUUGCGUGACCUGCGGCGAGCGCCACGGACACUCGUGCUCCAUGUGCGGUAAGACAGGCGACAAACACAGGGGCUCCCCAGGUCCGGAACCACCUGGGUAUCCAACCCCCCUUUUUGCAAAUUGCGGAUCCGUUUGUGGUUUUGUUGUCUUCCCUGGAUCUAUGAGGACCUAGGCUCCAAACAUCAGAUCCUCAGUGAAUGUUCUUCCACACGGGGAUCAAAUCACACUUAAUUUGGAUGUAUUUGGGCGGAAAGAAAACUUGGGGAGUCCCUGCUGUUGGCCUUUGUAUCCACCCUCUGAUGGGGGGGUGACAGCCUGGAUAUACUUAGGCUUCCUGUGCUGGUUUAAUGUUUCAUCCACGGAGGACUCCUCUAGAACAUCCUGCUUUACAGACACAUCCAUAUCCUACUGACAUUACACACAACGUGUAAUUGUCAAGAGCUGAAGAUGCACUGUUUGAUUGUCCAUCCAAGUGACUGACAGCAGGCUGAAAUCAUGAGUAAAAUACACAGUUAAAGAGGAGAAAAUCAAUGUACUUUUAUUUCCUCCUUUCUCCAAAUCCUCCCAUCCUCUAUAGUGUGCUGCCACAGCACAGUCAGGUGUGUGUGCAGCUUUACAGGCUGUUAAACCCCCCCACAGCUGCUCAUGUGUCUGUUUUGUGGACUGCUAGGACACCUGAUACUUUGAUUGGCCUUUAAAAGCUCAACAAAAUACAGAUUAACUUUAUUAUAGUCUCACUAAACAAUACUAGUGUUAAUACUUCAUAACAGAUCACUAACAUGUAAUAAUACUGCUAAGAUGUUAUACCUGCAAGUUCUUCCAGAUAUAAAUGAGGCUAAAUUGCUUUGUCCGGAGGUCAGUGGGAUUCAGGAGCAGACACAUGGUGUGAUCUUGUUGAGGUGUAAUGAACAGCCCCAGGUCCUGUUGUAUUGAGUCCUGCUUUCAGAUGACUUUAGAUUUCCUUUGCCUCUCAUGUCAGGCACCAUCAGUCUGCGGUCCGUCUAAUUGAUUGCAUCCGCAGGUUAAUUGGACACACAGCUGGAGGAGGAAUAUUGACCCGGGCUGCAUCUUCCCCCGCCGCUUCACCAUCACCACCACCCAGCUCCAUCCUCCAGGACGACCCCCUUCUUCCAUGUUGUGGUUUUCCACAGAGCUGCGUGCCCCCCCUUUUCCCUUUUCACUACAAAGACUUAUAUUUCACACACAAAAAAAAAGACUCAUGGACAAAAAGCAUGUGAGAAACCAGCUGUAUUCUACCGCGGGAUGGGUUAAGCCCUUAUUUAUUAGAUGUGUAUAUAUAUUUUCUAUAAAAUGUUAUGUUGUUGAUGAAUGUUCAGUGUGGUUGUGAUAGGCUGGAGCAGAAAAUACUCACAUUUGGAGGGUUAUAGCCCACAUGAUACACAUAAACUCCAGCACAAACCAGUUUCCAUGUGUGUUCUACUAGGAUGGUUGCUGUAAAUUGAUCAGAUAUGAUUAUUAUUAUUAUUAUUAGAGGUAAAACUGUCCAUGUUGUCAUUCUCCGACUGAACCAAAGACUCAUUUCAUCUCAUUGCUCCCUUUUGUGCAGUGUUGCAACUCAGAAUCUACCAUAGAUAUAUGAUGAGAGACCUGCUCUGUUUUGUUUGAUGGUUUGAUUUAUCAAUAGAGUUUUCAUGUGUACAUUGAUUAAUUUCCUUUGUACUGUUAGUCAUUUCAUUUGGCUGUAGUGUAAUAUCUUACAUUCUGGUGAGUCUUAAAGUCUAAACUGAUGAUCGCUCAGUUCCUUUUCAGUGGUUUAAGACAGAAACUGUAGACAAAGAGGCAGCAAAAUCAUUGGCGAUGGAUUAAUCAGAUAUUUAGACAUAAUCUCCCUAAUUUUUUCAGUUGUAGAUGUUAUUAGAAAUACACUUUUUAUUGCCGUUAUCAAGUGAUGAUGAGGUGGAUGCUUCUGCUGUUGUGUUUAUAGUAAAUAUGAGGCAGAAUGAAAGAAUGAAUGAAUGAAGCAUUUAACAGGUAGCAUUCAUCAACUUUCAACCACCUAGUUUAAGGACUUGCAUAAUCUGCACACAAAGACAAGUUGUGACGCAUUCUGAA